rnacentral:rRNA from 1 species
CUCCUGGAAACGGGUGGUAAUGCCGGAUGUUCCACAUGAGCGCAUGCGAGUGUGGGAAAGGCUUUUUGCGGCAUGGGAUGGGGUCGCGUCCUAUCAGCUUGUUGGUGGGGUAACGGCCUACCAAGGCGUUGACGGGUAGCCGGCCUGAGAGGGCGACCGGCCACAUUGGGACUGAGAUACGGCCCAGACUCCUACGGGAGGCAGCAGUGGGGAAUAUUGCACAAUGGGCGCAAGCCUGAUGCAGCGACGCCGCGUGCGGGAUGGAGGCCUUCGGGUUGUAAACCGCUUUUGUUCAAGGGCAAGGCACGGUUUCGGCCGUGUUGAGUGGAUUGUUCGAAUAAGCACCGGCUAACUACGUGCCUGCAGCCGCGGUAAUACGUAGGGUGCAAGCGUUAUCCGGAUUUAUUGGGCGUAAAGGGCUCGUAGGCGGUUCGUCGCGUCCGGUGUGAAAGUCCAUCGCUUAACGGUGGAUCCGCGCCGGGUACGGGCGGGCUUGAGUGCGGUAGGGGAGACUGGAAUUCCCGGUGUAACGGUGGAAUGUGUAGAUAUCGGGAAGAACACC